AACGAACGCUGGCGGCAUGCCUAACACAUGCAAGUCGAACGAGACCUUCGGGUCUAGUGGCGCACGGGUGCGUAACGCGUGGGAAUCUGCCCUUAGGUACGGAAUAACUCAGGGAAACUUGAGCUAAUACCGCAUAAUGACUCCGGUCCAAAGAUUUAUCGCCUAGGGAUGAGCCCGCGUAGGAUUAGCUAGUUGGUGAGGUAAAAGCUCACCAAGGCGACGAUCCUUAGCUGGUCGAGAGGAUGAUCAGCCACACUGGGACUGAGAC
rnacentral:rRNA from 1 species